ACAGGUUUUUACAGCAACUUGUUGUGUUUCACAGUAGCCAGGGACUACGACAUGCACCAGCGAGCACACAUACAGACCUACAGCUCUCUGAUGUGCUAGCAUCGUUAAGUGAGGUCGAAGGUUGUCUAAAACAGUGCUUAGAAGCUUUGCACGCUUUCACAGGAGCAGUGGAAGUGACCUUGAAUUGGGAGCAGGUUCAAGAUGAUGGAGAUGCUGUUGUAUCCGGUUACAAAGUUUACGUGAAUGGUAAACAGUACGGCUUCCAAGUUCACCCACAUAUCAACGAAAUGAUGCUAA